UUAACCGAAUAGGGGAGCCGGAGGGAAACCGAGUCUUAACCGGGCGUUAAGUUGCAGGGUAUAGACCCGAAACCCGGUGAUCUAGCCAUGGGCAGGUUGAAGGUUGGGUAACACUAACUGGAGGACCGAACCGACUAAUGUUGAAAAAUUAGCGGAUGACCUGUGGCUGGGGGUGAAAGGCCAAUCAAACCGGGAGAUAGCUGGUUCUCCCCGAAAGCUAUUUAGGUAGCGCCUCGUGAAUUCAUCUCCGGGGGUAGAGCACUGUUUCGGCUAGGGGGCCAUCCCGGCUUACCAACCCGAUGCAAACUGCGAAUACCGGAGAAUGUUAUCACGGGAGACACACGGCGGGUGCUAACGUCCGUCGUGAAGAGGGAAACAACCCAGACCGCCAGCUAAGGUCCCAAAGUCAUGGUUAAGUGGGAAACGAUGUGGGAAGGCCCAGACAGCCAGGAUGUUGGCUUAGAAGCAGCCAUCAUUUAAAGAAAGCGUAAUAGCUCACUGGUCGAGUCGGCCUGCGCGGAAGAUGUAACGGGGCUAAACCAUGCACCGAAGCUGCGGCAGCGACACUAUGUGUUGUUGGGUAGGGGAGCGUUCUGUAAGCCUG
rnacentral:rRNA from 1 species